AGAGGCGCGGGUCACAGAGACCUAGAACAGCUGGAAUCCUUCGCCCCCGGCGCGCAGCCUUCGCCCGCCGGAAUCGCUGCCUUAUCCACCAGCGGGAUGCUUACCUCGCCCGCCCUCUCGGGUCAGGCGGGCCCGGGAGGAUGGGAGGGUGGCUGCUGAGCGGGAGCCGCCACGUCUUCCACCCGACAUAUUGCCUAGAGUUUGCUGUGACUUAGAUCUUGAUUCAGAGAUGGAGAAAUCAGGCCCAUCUUCUACCAUCUCUGAGCAGCAGCUGCAGAGGCAAGAGGGAUGGAUUAACACCAAAACAGACUUGGCUGAGCAGAGUCUCAUUUCAUCUGAGAAAUGGCUUCAACUGCAUGGGCUUAAGAGCAACAAAUUGACCUUGAAACAGAUUUUGUCACAGAUCGGAUUCCCACAUUGUGAAGAUUAUGUGGCGUCUCUGGGGAGACCUGUGGCUUCUCGGUAUGCUGAUGGUCUGUUUCCACAGCUCUACAGAGCAGAAGAUGGCAGAGUAUACAAUCUAAAUCAGAACUGAUUUAUCAGUUUGUGGAACAUUUAACACAAGCUGUGGAGAGCUACAAGCAGCGAAUGGACUGGCUCACCAGCAAGAGCCGGCAGAUUUUUGGUGUCAUCUUGGAACAGUGCGUCACCAUAGUGCUGGAUUUUGGCGGCAUUCUGGAGGGGGAGCUUGAUCUGUGCCGAGAGGCUCUAACAAUGGUUCUCCAGGAGCAGGUGGCUCACAUAACCGAGUUCAAUAUCAUACGGGUUUCUCAAGAGCCUGUGAAGUGGCAGGAAAAUGCUACUCCUGUGACCGAACAGUCCAUAGCUACUGCCAUCAGUUGGGUUGAGAAACUGACGGUUGAGCUGACUGUGAGCGAGGCUGGCCGCCUGGAUGCUCUGCUGGAAGCCGGGAGAGACAAGACUAUUGAAUCCAUUUACUACUUUGUGGUGGGGGAUGUUCCUGAAGAAUCCAAGGAGCUUCUCCUCCAGAGGGCCUUGGAGAUCCCGUGUCCAGUCUACACAGUGUCCUUCAACGCCAGAGGAGAAGGCACUAUAGCUUUUCUAAAGGAUCUGAGUGCCAAGACCCACAGCAGAUUCCACGCAUUUGCCGAGAGAACAGAGUGUGUAGAAUUUCCUGCAUUCUCCACAAAGGAUGGUGACAAUGUGAUGACUUGGAAUUCAAGGAAACUGAAAGGAAAACUCCCUCCAGGAGCUGGAGUCAGAGAGGACGUGUUUCUCGUUUGGCAAGAGAUGGAGGAAGCCUGCAGCACGCUGGCCCAGAUCCAGAGGCUGGUGGCCGAGCCUCCCAAGCCCGACGUGGCCACUGUGGACUGCGAGUCAGAAACAACCUCUGUUGAGAUUGCAUCGAAUCCAGAAGACACCUGGGACUCUAAGACAUGGCUGCAGAAAUAUGGCUUGAAGGCCCAGAAGCUAUCCUUGUAUGAUGUGCUUGCCGACUGCUCUUUCCGCCACGCUGAUGGGGUUGUGGAUAUAAAAGCCAAACCGGAGAAUGAGUCCGUGCAGACCAGUGCGGAUUAAAUGGCUACAGGAUGGGAGUCAAAGCCUCUUUGGAAGAUUGCAUAAUGAUUGCAUCUACAUUCUCAUUGACACGUCUCACUCAAUGAAGAGCAAACUGGACUUGGUGAAGGACAAGAUCAUUCAGUUCAUACAGGAACAGCUGAAAUAUAAAAGUAAGUUUAACUUUGUGAAGUUUGAUGGUCAAGCAGUUGCUUGGCGGGAACAACUUGCUGAAGUCAAUGAAGAUAAUUUGGAACAGGCUCAGUCCUGGAUUAGAGACAUAAAGAUUGGAAGCUCCACAAACACCCUGAGUGCCCUGAAAACUGCUUUUGCUGAUAAAGAAACACAGGCAAUCUACCUUCUGACCGAUGGGAGACCUGAUCAGGGAACAUCAUCUCAUUUACUCCUCACAGCAGCCGUUUAAGGAGGGAGUAUCAGUUCUGAGCCACAGAUGAGGAAACUCACAUUAGACAGGACAUGCCCUAGGCCAUUCAGAUGGGCAGUGCUGGAUGAGCUUCAAGCCCAAGUCUCUCGCUCUGGAGCUGUUUCCUUCAUUCCAUACAGCUGAAGACAGCAUGAGUGGGAGAGACUGUCAUGUGUAUCAUUCCACCUGAAACAGUUAUAGACCAGGUCAAACGUUUUCAGGAAAUUCCUAUUUAUACCAUCUCCUUCAAUUACAAUGAUGAGAUUGCAAACAGGUUUUUGAAAGAGGUUGCUGCUUUGACUGGAGGAGAGUUCCAUUUUUAUAAUUUUGGUUGCAAGGAUCCCACUCCCCCAGAGGCUGUUCAGAAUGAAGAUCUGACUCUUUUAGUUAAGGAAAUGGAACAGGGUCACAGUGAUCUGGAGAAGAUGCAAGACCUUUAUUCUGAGUCCUUGAUCAUGGACUGGUGGUACAAUGCAGAAAAGGAUGGAGACAGCAAGCAUCAAAAGGAAAUCUGUUCUAUGAUUUCAACCCCAGAAAAGUGUGCAAAGCCUCAAUCUGAUGUCGAUUCAACACAAACUUCAUCUCUGAAUAUGUUGAAGGGACCAUGGGGCCUUUCAGAUCAAAAGGUUCAGAAAAAGAAAGUCCUUCACGCAGAAUCAACCAAAACCAGCCUGCUCAGAAGCCAGAUGUCCUCCCUCAGGAGCUCAGCUUGCAGUGAAAGGAAGGAUGGCCUCUCCAAUGCCAGCAGCCGGAGGACUGCUCUAAGUGACAAAGAAAUGAGCAUCUUGCUGGCUGAGGAGUGGCUGGAUGACAAAUCGUCAGAAAAGGUGACGCGAGAAGGAAGCCAGGUUUAUGACCACGAUUCUUCAGAUGUGUCUUCAGAAAACUGGCUGAAGACCUAUGGCUUGGUCGCCAAGAAACUCACCCUCAUGGAUGCCUUGUCAGUGGCAGCAGUCCCGCACAGCUCCACCUAUGUUCCCGUCCUGGACAAGCAUGUCGUGUCUAAGGUCUUUGAUGAGGUGUUCCCUCUGGCACAUGUGUGCAACGACACAAAUAAGAUGACAUUAAUUAACCCCCAAGGAGCCAAACUCAAUAUCUACAAGCGAAAAGUGGAACAGGCAAUUCAAUCCUAUGAAAAGCGCUUGAAUAAAAUUGUUUGGCGAGCAUUAUCUCAAGAGGAAAAAGAAAAGAGCCUGUAAUAUCUUGUUCCCCCUGGUGUCUCUCUGAAGUACUGCAGUAUCUCCAAUGCUGUAACAAGCUGUGACACUCAUUUCUGUUCUCAGAGGUCCCAACCUGACCUGCAAAAUAUGCCACUGUUCUCAUCAGCAUUCUGAAUCAGGUUAGAUGCAAACAAACCAAUACAGUACUUGGAAAACAAAACAGUUUUAAACCAGGCUUUAGAACGGUUGAAUUGGCCCAUUUCACUGAAAGAGCUGUCGAUGCUGGAAAGUGAAAUCCUAGCUGGGAAAAUGUACAUCCAGCAGGCCAUGGAACUCCAGGAGGCUGCCAAGAAGAAUUAUGCAAACAAGGCCCCGGGAGAGCAACAGAAAUUGCAAGGAAAUCCAACAAAGAAAACCAAAUCAAAAAGACCAGAUCCCCUCAAAGGACAGAAGGUUAUUGCAAGAUGUGAUGAAAAUGGCUUUUAUUUUCCAGGGGUUGUGAAGAAGUGUGUGAGCCGCACCCAAGCACUGGUGGGCUUCAGUUACGGAGACACCAAGGUCGUGUCCACCUCCUUCAUCACGCCUGUGGGGGGCGCCAUGCCCUGCCCGCUGCUCCAGGUUGGAGAUUAUGUGUUUGCCAAAAUUGUGAUACCCAAAGGAUUUGACUUCUAUGUCCCUGCCAUUGUCAUAGCACUUCCCAAUAAGCAUGUGGCCACAGAAAAAUUCUACACAGUUUUGAAGUGUAACAACCGGAGAGAAUUUUGCCCUCGGAGUGCACUUAUUAAGAUCAGCCAAAACAAGUAUGCGCUCUCUUGCUCUCAUAUAAAGUCACCCCCAAUUCCUGAGGAUCCAGAAGUAGAGGAUGUGGAGGCGAGGAACUCUGCUUUCCUCUUCUGGCCACUGAAAGAAGCGGACACGCAGGAUUCCAGAGAGCCAAGACGAGAGAAGCCCAGGAGGAAAAAGAGGCCCGCCAAGCAGCCACUCCAGCAGGCGGCGCCCUCGGACUCGGACGGCUCCUCCCACGGCAUCAGCUCCCAUGGGUCCUGCCAGGGGACACACCCCGAGCCCAGGACAGCCCACCUCCACUUCCCCGCGGCCGGGCGUCUAGGACUCAGCAGCCACGCCAUCAUUGCCACACCUCCACCUCGAGCAGCCCUGCCCUGUACUCUCCAAGCCACCCACAGCAGCAAAGGGCUGAGGAGCGUCCCUGAGACACUUUAAGGCCGUCUGGUGGCAGCUAUGUUUAAGAGACCAGCGUCCUUCCAGGCUGUUCAGACCUCAGCGUUGACACUGAAACUGGCCCCUCCGCGGAGGUAAGGCCGCCCUCCGCGCCGCCUAUGCCUGCCCUGUCUGUAGCAAAGACUCCUCUCCCCUCCAUCCCUGCUGCCUCCCCUACCCGUUUGACGACUUGGUUCUGGCUUUUUCUGACUGUUCUUUAUCCUGUUUUCCCCCUGCACUCACAAAAUUGUAUUCCAUCUUCUGGUAGACGCCCCACCCCCAGAAGUUUUAACCUGAAGGAUGACUGUCACAGGACUUUCAAAUUGUUUAGCAGUCAGCAUAGUCAGGAUCCAAGCCCGCAAUCUUGUUUUAAAUUAAUUAUCACAUCUAAAUUAGAGAAUUUGUCACCCAAUAUUAGGACUGAAAUUCAGACUCGGUAACUUGUCUGAGAUCUGCAAGACUGAACAUCCCCUACUGUAUAGUUUCCUGACAUUUUCAUUUAGCCUUUCCUAAUUAUUUUUGUCUAUAGUCUGUUGUAGGUAACUCUAAUUGAGCCCGAAACCAGAAUAAAAACUCUUACAUUGGAAACAUUUCAAAACCAUUGGAUUGUUGGAUUAUUUGUUACCAUUUUUCUCUGAACACAUUUUAGCAAUGACAUAUGAAAGUAUUCAGUUGUGUUUACUAACUUCAAAAAUGAAAUCGCUCCAUCAAAUUUCGUUUUUCUAGUCGGUAAGAUCCCUGAGGCUAGAUGAAAAUAGAGCACAGGUCAUCACUAGGGAAAAUAUUGGAUGCUUUUUGCAAACAGAACAGAUAGGGCUGAGUUCUGAUACUCUAAAAAUUUACAAUCUAAUUAAAAGUGGCAUUCACAUUCCUGAAAGCUAGGAGUAGCCAGGGUUAUGGUGAAGAAAUUAAAGAACUAAUCCACUUCUAAAAAUAUGAAAAAAAAAAAAUAA